AUUGAACGCUGGCGGCAUGCUUUACACAUGCAAGUCGAACGGCAGCACGGGGGCAACCCUGGUGGCGAGUGGCGAACGGGUGAGUAAUGCAUCGGAACGUAUCUUCAAGUGGGGGAUAACGCAUCGAAAGAUGCGCUAAUACCGCAUAAUCUCCGAGGAGAAAAGCAGGGGAUCGCAAGACCUUGCGCUUUUGGAGCGGCCGAUGUCUGANAGCUAGUUGGUGAGGUAAAGGCUUACCAAGGCUUCGAUCAGUAGCUGGUCUGAGAGGACGACCAGCCACACUGGGACUGAGACACGGCCCAGACUCCUACGGGAGCAGCAGUGGGAAUAUUGGACAAUGGGCGAAAGCCUGACGCAGCGACGCCGCGUGA
rnacentral:rRNA from 1 species